rnacentral:rRNA from 1 species
CUCCAUGACCACACUGCCCUGAACACAGCUGAUCUCAUCUGGUCUCAGAAGGUAACCAGGCUUGGGCCUGGUUAGGACUUGGAUGGGAGACUGCCUGGGAAUAGCAAUGCUGUAGGCU